UUCAUGAUUUGUACAUAGAGUAUUUUGAUAUUUACCUUAAUAUAAAUGGCUUAUUAUUAGUAUUCUAGAGAGUUGCACUUUUCUAUUAGAGCGAUUGUUCUAAGUUAGAGAAUUUCUUCUUUUUCUUUUUAAAAGACAAAAAACUCCACUGGAGAGGAAAUCAAACACAAAAUGAAGACACAAUUCAGAGUUUGAUUUUAUUUUAUCAUGUUUUCUUUUAGUUUC
rnacentral:lncRNA from 1 species